rnacentral:tRNA from 1 species
GCGCCCGUAGUGGGAGGGGUGUACGUCCCGGACUUCAAAUCCGGCCCGGUCACGGUUCAGGCCGCCGGGCCCC